UGCAGCAGGCAAACACUUAUAGACUGAGCUAUUUCUCCAGCCCUAGGUUUGACUUUUAGAAUAAAAAGGGCUGUUAUGUAGGCUCAGAGGCUUUUUUUCUAUCAGGUCAUGUGACUAAGGGUCUCAUAGCUAUUUGAAGGUGUACUUCUUUUCUUAAAAGGAGUUUGGGGAAAAAUAGAAUAAAUAUAGUACAUGCACACUAGGAUUAUCAGCCCUGGAAUGAGGCUGAUCAAUAUAAAAAAGCUUGGGGAAAAAUAUGGAUUUUAAUUUUCUUGAAUUUGAAUGAUUUUAAGUUCUAUCAUAUGAUAAAAAUGCUAGAAGUAGACUUUUCUAGGCAUAGGGGUAAAGUAUCUGAAUGGAAUGUUGGGGUUGAGAAAUACUAGAGCAUUUGUUUUUCCAUGUUUCUUUUUUGUGUGUAAUACUUGAUUUUGGAAGGGCUAGGGUCUGGCCUUAAUUUUGCAGAGACUUCCUGUGUCCAACGCGUCAGACCUACCAAAUCGGACAAAGAACUGGGCAUUGCUCCUUCUGCCACUGAUAAGAAAAAUGCUGAUCCAAAGAAAGUAAUAACUCCUGAUACUCCAAAGAUUGCAUCUUCUUUAGAAGAGGAAGUGAAUUCUGAGAUGGGGA